rnacentral:rRNA from 1 species
GGGGAGUACGUCGGCAACGAUGAAACUCAAAGGAAUUGACGGGGGCCCGCACAAGCGGAGGAACAUGUGGUUUAAUUCGAUGAUACGCGAGGAACCUUACCCGGGCUUGAACUGCGCCGGACUCACCCGGAAACGGGUGUUCCCUACGGGGUCGGCGCGGAGGUGCUGCAUGGUUGUCGUCAGCUCGUGCCGUGAGGUGUCGGGUCAAGUCCCAUAACGAGCGCAACCCUUGCCGCCAGUUGCCAUCAGUUCGGCUGGGCACUCUGGCGGGACUGCCGCCGUAAGGUGCGAGGAAGGCGGGGAUGACGUCAAAUCAGCACGGCCCUUACGCCCGGGGCUACACACGUGUUACAAUGGCCGGCACAGCGGGCAGCGACCUGGUGACAGGAAGCGAAUCUCGAAAGCCGGUCUUAGUUCGGAUUGGAGUCUGCAACCCGACUCCAUGAAGUUGGAUUCGCUAGUAAUCGCGCAUCAGCCAUGGCGCGGUGAAUACGUUCCCGGGCCUUGUACACACCGCCCGUCAAGCCAUGGGAGCNNNNNNNNNCUGAAGUCCGUAACCGCGAGGGGCGGCCUAGGGCAAAACUGGUAACGGGGGCUAAGUCGUAACAAGGUAACC